GAUGGGAUUGUCGUAUCUGAAUCUCUUCAAUCCGGAAAUUAUACUAUAGUUUAAAUAUACAGUUUAGAUAAGUAGGUUACUGAAUUUAUCUUGUACGAUACAACAUAUUCUACAUGCAAUUGAAGGUCUGUUUGCACGCACCAUAUGAAAAUUCAGAACACACGUUGCAUUUGUCUGUGGAAGUAAAUGUAAGUACUGCACGUCACCCAGCUCCAAGCGUGUCAAAACUGUGAGAAUCACCUAGUAAAGGAAAUAUUGGAGAAAAGUUUUAAUCUGUAGACCUAGUCUGGAAAAGGUAACACAUGAUUAUCUAGAGUUUCCUUUCAAGAGAAAGUUUUGUUACUAGCAUGUGCAUAUCUAUUUCGUAAAUGGAUAAAUGACUGGUGCCUAUAAGUAGAUGGUUGUCCAUAAAAAAUAAAACUCUAUCACUUCCUAGAAACUGCACCUUAGCUUUAUUUGGUCUCAAGUUAAUCUGGACAUGGGUUUUAAGCACUAAACAAGGAGAUAGAUUAGCCAAAAACCACAUUUUUGUACAAAAAUAAGGAUCAAUUACAAAUUCCUAAAAAUGGCUUUUAGUCAAAGUAUAAAUGCUCCACAGAUAACUAUGCUAAUGAUUUUCUAUUCGUUGAACCAUAUGCAAAAUCUUUAAAGCUCCUGAGAUGGUUAUCAUAAAUUUGCCCUUUUUCCCCCUUCACCAUCAAUGUAUCAGCAUGGCCAACUCCCAACAGGAUGUUAUGAAAGUCUAAUUUGUAACUGAAAACCACUUAUCAGGUUUAUAAAAGUCGAUAUAAAUAAAUGUAUAGUGUAUAUUAGAAUUGAGU
rnacentral:lncRNA from 1 species